GAUGAACGCUGGCGGCGUGCCUAAUACAUGCAAGUCGAGCGAACAGAUAAGGAGCUUGCUCCUUUGACGUUAGCGGCGGACGGGUGAGUAACACGUGGGUAACCUACCUAUAAGACUGGGAUAACUUCGGGAAACCGGAGCUAAUACCGGAUAACAUCUGGAACCGCAUGGUUCUAAAGUGAAAGAUGGUUUUGCUAUCACUUAUAGAUGGACCCGCGCCGUAUUAGCUAGUUGGUAAGGUAACGGCUUACCAAGGCGACGAUACGUAGCCGACCUGAGAGGGUGAUCGGCCACACUGGAACUGAGACACGGUCCAGACUCCUACGGGAGGCAGCAGUAGGGAAUCUUCCGCAAUGGGCGAAAGCCUGACGGAGCAACGCCGCGUGAGUGAUGAAGGGUUUCGGCUCGUAAAACUCUGUUAUUAGGGAAGAACAAAUGUGUAAGUAACUGUGCACGUCUUGACGGUACCUAAUCAGAAAGCCACGGCUAACUACGUG
rnacentral:rRNA from 1 species